ensembl:snRNA U6 U6 spliceosomal RNA
GGGCUCACUUCGUCAGCACAUAUAGUAAAAUUGGAACAAUGCAGAGAAGAUUAGCAUGUCCCCUGCGCAAGGAUGACACUGAAAUUCGUGAAGUAUUCCAUAUUUUU